rnacentral:lncRNA from 1 species
CUGAGUCCAAUUUCCACAUUGCCACUUGUCAUAUGACAUUGACACCACAAUGUCACUCAAGUGCUAUCCCUAUUUUUCAAAGGUUGUAUUAUAUGCUAACACAUUUAAUCACGUUAUUGCUUCAUUAUUAAUUAAUACAAGCUAGUAAUUACACCUCUUUUUAUAAGCUAGUAUGUCUCACAUUUUAUGGAUGGUAACAACUAUUUAAUUGAAGUAUACAGGUAUGAGUUUUUUACAUUUAAAAAUAUUCAAAAAAAUAAUACUCAUGUUUGUUUUAAACAAAUGCAAAAAAUUGUUGAAAUUCUCAAGUUUAUCUAUGCAUUACCUUUCUAAAUUACUUUCAAUUUAUGAAUAAGUAUAAUCACGUAUUUGCUUCAUCAUUAAUACAAUUAACUUUUUCAUUGGUCAAAACUAUAAUUUAUUUGUAAACGAAAAAAAUGCACUAAUGUUUCAUGGACACCCCAUUUGGUCCAUCCAUCCAUUGAGUAGCCACUUUAUCUCUAUCUAUCUAUCUCUUUCAUCUUACCUGCCGCUCUUCUUCACCUUCUCCCGCCCCCACCCCCACCCCCAAUGGCCUCCUCCUUAUCUCUGCUAUCUUCAACGCCAAACCCACUAUCAUUGUCACUUACUUUAUUUCUCUAAUCUAAGAUCUUUCUCUCCAUUGGCAACCGUGUUGGUGGCUGCGAGUUUCACUUCGUCGACUUUGAUGCAUCUCUUCCAACGACCUUGAGCUCAGAUUCAUAUUGUCUAUGAUGACGACCAUAUCAACGUUUUCAAGGUAGCCGACCAAAUCCAUGUUAUUGACGUCGACAUGAGAGCGGAUGGAUGGGGUCCGAGAGUAACAAAGAAGGCGAAUGAGAGAGGGAAGUCUAGGCGGCCGAGACGAGAAGGUAGAAGUGGAGGGGUAGGGAAUGAGAGAAACAUGGAAGAUAUAUAUAUAUAUAUAUAUAUAUAUAUAUAUAUAUAUAUAUAUAUAUAUAUAUAUAUAUAGAGAUAUUUCACAAGCAUUUUGUUUUUGGGCUAAAUUGUAUAUUUAAUCCCUUAAUUUAUUUUGUUGUUUUUAUUUUAAUCCCCUAAAUAAUUAACGCCAUUUUGAUCCUUUGACUUAUACUAUGUCAAAAUAAAUAGGAGAGAGAAGGUCAAGAUUUUUGGGUUUUGGUGCAAUGAAAGAAUAAAUAGGGGUCGUGGUGAGUACUCUGAAAAUAAAUGGAUGGAGCUGGACUGGAAUUAAGAUGGAUACCAUUCAUUUGGUAUUUAUAAGGUGAUUGUUUUUAGGGUCUUGUUAACAAGUGUUCUAAGGAUAUUUAUUAAGAAUUCACAAAAUAAAAAUAAUUGAUAACUUUUAUAUAGAAAAUGUUACUUUUUGAUUUUUCAAUGUAUUGAAUAUACAAAUUUCAAGAUAAAGUUUCCAUUUAAAACUUCUUAUCAAGUGCCCCUAGGACACUUGUUAACAUUUCCCUUAUUUUUAAGCCCUCAAAUUGUUCAAACUCUGAAAACUCUGAUGUAAGUUCCUUUUGAUCUUCAACUAUAUGAGAAAGGGCUAUGGCUACGGUAGGCGACCUUAAUGGGUCUCCUACUAUAAGAGAC